rnacentral:misc_RNA from 1 species
AGCAGCCGCGGUAAUUCCAGCUCCAAUAGCGUAUAUUAAAGUUGUUGCAGUUAAAAAGCUCGUAGUUGAAUUUCGGGGUUAGCAGGUCGGUCGUGCCAUCGGUAUGAACUGGUCUCGCUGAUCCCUCCCUCUUGACGAACUGUGAUGCCAUUAAUUUGGUGUCGCAGGGAAUCAGGACUGUUACUUUGAAAAAUUAGAGUGUUUAAAGCAGGCUCACGCUUGAAUACAUUAGCAUGGAAUAAUGAAAUAGGACGUUUGAUCCUAUUUUGUUGGUUUCUAGGAUUGACGUAAUGAUUAAUAGGGAUAGUUGGGGGCAUUAGUAUUCAAUUGUCAGAGGUGAAAUUCUUGGAUUUAUUGAAGACUAACUACUGCGAAAGCAUUUGCCAAGGAUGUUUUCAUUAAUCAAGAACGAAAGUUAGGGGGAUCGAAGACGAUCAGAUACCGUCGUAGUCUUAACCAUAAACUAUGCCGACUAGGGAUCGGAUGAUGUUAAUUUUUUAAUGUACUCUA